UGUCGUGCUGGGGAUAGAGCAUUGCAAUUAUUGCUCUUCAACGAGGAAUCCCUAGUAAGCGCAAGUCAUCAGCUUGCGUUGAUUACGUCCCUGCCCUUUGUACACACCGCCCGUCGCUACUACCGAUUGAAUGGCUCAGUGAGGCUUCCGGACUGGCCCAGGGAGGUCGGCAACGACCACCCAGGGCCGGAAAGCUAUCCAAACUCGGUCAUUUAGAGGAGUAAAAGUCGUAACAAGGUCUCCGUUGGUGAACCAGCGGAGGGAUCAUUA
rnacentral:ncRNA from 1 species